UACGUAGGGGGCUAGCGUUGUCCGGAAUCAUUGGGCGUAAAGAGCGUGUAGGCGGCUCGGUAAGUCCGCUGUAAAAGUCAAAGGCUCAACCUUUGAAUGUCAGUGGAUACUGCCGGGCUAGAGUCCGGAAGAGGAGAGUGGAAUUCCUGGUGUAGCGGUGAAAUGCGCAGAUAUCAGGAAGAACACCCGUGGCGAAGGCGGCUCUCUGGGACGGUACUGACGCUGAGACGCGAAAGCGUGGGGAGCGAACAGG
rnacentral:rRNA from 1 species